ACGUAGGCAGCAAGCGUUGUUCGGAAUUACUGGGCGUAAAGAGUGUGUAGGCGGUGUUCUAAGUCUGUCGUGAAAUCUCCCGGCUCAACUGGGAGGGUGCGGCGGAGACUGGAAUGCUAGAGUAUGGGAGAGGUAAGCGGAAUUCCUGGUGUAGCGGUGAAAUGCGUAGAUAUCAGGAGGAACACCUGUGGUGUAGACAGCUUACUGGACCAUGACUGACGCUGAGACACGAAAGCGUGGGUAGCAAACAGGAUUAGAUACCCUGGUAGUCCACGCCCUAAACGAUGCAUACUUGGUGUGAGCCAUUCAUUUGGUUCGUGCCGGAGCUAACGCGUUAAGUAUGCCGCCUGGGGAGUACGGUCGCAAGGCUG
rnacentral:rRNA from 1 species